GAUGAACGCUGGCGGCGUGCCUAAUACAUGCAAGUCGAGCGAAUGGAUUAAGAGCUUGCUCUUAUGAAGUUAGCGGCGGACGGGUGAGUAACACGUGGGUAACCUGCCCAUAAGACUGGGAUAACUCCGGGAAACCGGGGCUAAUACCGGAUAACAUUUUGAACCACAUGGUUCGAAAUUGAAAGGCGGCUUCGGCUGUCACUUAUGGAUGGACCCGCGUCGCAUUAGCUAGUUGGUGAGGUAACGGCUCACCAAGGCAACGAUGCGUAGCCGACCUGAGAGGGGGAUCGGCCACACUGGGACUGAGACACGGCCCAGACUCCUACGGGAGGCAGCAGUAGGGAAUCUUCCGCAAUGGACGAAAGUCUGACGGAGCAACGCCGCGUGAGUGAUGAAGGCUUUCGGGUCGUAAAACUCUGUUGUUAGGGAAGAACAAGUGCUAGUUGAAUAAGCUGGCACCUUGACGGUACCUAACCAGAAAGCCACGGCUAACUACGUGCCAGCAGCCGCAGUAA
rnacentral:rRNA from 1 species